rnacentral:rRNA from 1 species
AUUGAACGCUGGCGGCAGGCCUAACACAUGCAAGUCGAACGGUAACAGGAAGCAGCUUGCUGCUUUGCUGACGAGUGGCGGGCGGGUGAGUAAUGUCUGUGAAACUGCCUGAUGGAGGGGGAUAACUACUGGAAACGGUAGCUAAUACCGCAUAACGUCGCAAGACCAAAGAGCGGGACCUUCGGGCCUCUUGCCAUCGGAUGUGCCCAGAUGGGAUUAGCUAGUAGGUGGGGUAACGGCUCACCUAGGCGACGAUCCCUAGCUGGUCUGAGAGGAUGACCAGCCACACUGGAACUGAGACACGGUCCAGACUCCUACGGGAGGCAGCAGUGGGGAAUAUUGCACAAUGGGCGCAAGCCUGAUGCAGCCAUGCCGCGUGUAUGAAGAAGGCCUUCGGGUUGUAAAGUACUUUCAGCGGGGAGGAAGGGAGUAAAGUUAAUACCUUUGCUCAUUGACGUUACCCGCAGAAGAAGCACCGGCUAACUCCGUG